rnacentral:rRNA from 1 species
CGCUGGCGGCGUGCCUAACACAUGCAAGUCGAACGGACGAGAUUUCUUCGGAGAUCGAGUUAGUGGCGGACGGGUGAGUAACGCGUGAGUAACCUGCCUUACAGAAGGGGGGACAACAGUUGGAAACGACUGCUAAUACCGCAUAAUGUAUGACCGAGGCAUCUCGGAGAUACCAAAGGAGCAAUCCGCUGUAAGAUGGACUCGCGUCCAAUUAGAUAGUUGGUGGGGUAACGGCCCACCAAGUCGACGAUUGGUAGCCGGACUGAGAGGUUGAACGGCCACAUUGGGACUGAGACACGGCCCAGACUCCUACGGGAGGCAGCAGUGGGGGAUAUUGCACAAUGAAGGAAACUCUGAUGCAGCAACGCCGCGUGAGGGAAGAAGGUUUUCGGAUUGUAAACCUCUGUUUUUAGUGAAGAACAAAUGACGGUAGCUAAAGAGGAAGCCACGGCUAACUACGUG